GAUGAACGCUGGCGGCGUGCCUAACACAUGCAAGUCGAGCGGAAAUAUUCAGAAGUAUACGUACGGAUGGAUAUUUUAGCGGCGGACGGGUGAGUAACACGUGAGCAACCUACCUUUUGCUGGGGAAUAACAUCGGGAAACCGAUGCUAAUACCGCAUGACAUUCCGAUGGGGCAUCCUGUUGGAAUCAAAGGAGAGAUCCGGCAAGAGAUGGGCUCGCGUCCGAUUAGCUGGUUGGUGAGGUAACGGCUCACCAAGGCGACGAUCGGUAGCCGGACUGAGAGGUUGGACGGCCACAUUGGGACUGAGACACGGCCCAGACUCCUACGGGAGGCAGCAGUGGGGAAUAUUGGGCAAGUGGGGAAACCCUGACCCAGCAACGCCGCGUGAAGGACGAAGGCCUUCGGGUUGUAAACUUCUUUGAUCAGGGACGAAAGCGAUGACGGUACCUGAGGAACAAGCCACGGCUAACUACGUG
rnacentral:rRNA from 1 species